GACGAACGCUGGCGGCGUGCUUAACACAUGCAAGUCGAACGGAAAGGCCCUGCUUUUGUGGGGUGCUCGAGUGGCGAACGGGUGAGUAACACGUGAGUAACCUGUCCUUGACUUUGGGAUAACUUCAGGAAACUGGGGCUAAUACCGGAUAGGAGCUCCUGCUGCAUGGUGGGGGUUGGAAAGUUUCGGCGGUUGGGGAUGGACUCGCGGCUUAUCAGCUUGUUGGUGGGGUAGUGGCUUACCAAGGCUUUGACGGGUAGCCGGCCUGAGAGGGUGACCGGCCACAUUGGGACCGAGAUACGGCCCAGACUCCUACGGGAGGCAGCAGUGGGGAAUAUUGCACAAUGGGCGGAAGCCUGAUGCAGCAACGCCGCGUGCGGGAUGACGGCCUUCGGGUUGUAAACCGCUUUCGCCUGUGACGAAGCGUGAGUGACGGUAAUGGGUAAAGAAGCACCGGCUAACUACGUG
rnacentral:rRNA from 1 species